rnacentral:rRNA from 1 species
UACGUAGGGUGCAAGCGUUUGUCCGGAAUUAUUGGGCGUAAAGAGCUCGUAGGCGGUUUGUCGCGUCGAAUGUGAAAACUCGGGGCUUAACCCCGGGCCUGCAGUGGGUACGGGCAGACUAGAGUGCGGUAGGGGAGACUGGAAUUCCUGGUGUAGCGGUGAAAUGCGCAGAUAUCAGGAGGAACACCGGUGGCGAAGGCGGGGUCUCUGGGCCGAAACUGACGCUGAGGAGCGAAAGCGUGGGGAGCAAACAGG